rnacentral:rRNA from 1 species
GACGAACGCUGGCGGUGUGCUUCACACAUGCAAGUCGAACGAGGUAGCAAUACCUAGUGGCGGACGGGUGAGUAAACGCGUGGGAAUCUGCCUUUAGAUGGGGGAUAACGGGUCGAAAGACUCGCUAAUACCGCAUAUGACGAAAGUUGAAAGGAGUAAUCCGUCUAAAGAUGAGCCCGCGUCCGAUUAGCUAGUUGGUAGAGUAAAAGCCUACCAAGGCGACGAUCGGUAGCUGGUCUGAGAGGAUGAUCAGCCACAAUGGGACUAGAGACACGGCCCAUACU